AACUGUUUCAUUGGUGAAAGGAUCCUCACCCUGGAUAAAGAAGAAACAGAUCAGUACAAGAAACGGGAGCUUAAAGAGGGUCACCAGGAAACUCUGUAGCAAAGGCCAAGUGUCCCUUACCUGGAGGAACUCCACUGUCUUGUCAGGCAGUUUGGUGCUUAUAAACCGCAGCGUCUCUUUGUGAAAUUUGCUCUGCAGAUGCUUCUGGAUUUCUUCAUCUUCAAAGCUACGGAACUUGCACACAGAACAGGCAAACUGAAUCCUGGAGAAGGAAAAUGGACAAAAAAGCAGUGAGGUGGGGAUACAACCCAUGCCGGAGUACAGCUGAAAUGGAAAAGGAAAUGUGAUUUCUUUGCUGUCUUUUUUUUUACGUAAGGUCUCAAUAUGUAGUUCAGGGUAGCCUCAAACUCAAGGCACUCUUCUUGGCUCAGUCUCACCAGUGCUGGGAUUACAGGUGUGUGCCUCUGAGCCUGGCCUCAGGAAAUGACUUCUGAACUAGUGGCAAGACUUGUAACUUUUAGCAGGGGGGCACAGCAGCAGUUACCCAAGCAUCUGAAGAACAGAACACAGCCCUGAAAGUAUUUUAGGAAAAUGACUCAUGUACUAACUCAGCGACAUUCCAGUCUCUUUGGCACAAAGGCCCCUAACUGAAUAUCCUAAGGUAGUGACUUUUUGUACUUGUGGACUCCCCAAGAUCCAACUGACUACUACUUAGCUUCUCAGGUGAGUCCGUCUACAGCCAUGGGGACGAUAUAUAGCAAGCUCAUUUCAUGUGAAGGAAAAAUUCCUGAAGAUCUCACACAAUUCAAAGCUCAUAUAACCCAAGAUCAGUUCUCCCACAGACCCAGUAUAAAGAAAGAAGAUAUCAAGUUCUACAGGGAAGAUGAGCCUUCUUUGUUGUGAUUCCCAGGUCUCACCAAAUGCAAUCAGGUUGCAUAACAAGAUAGCGGCUUGUAGUACCCUGCCCCACCCCAGCCCCCAAACAGGAUGCCCCUUCCCUGGUGACUCCAGCCCUUCUGGGGUUGAGGAUGCAGGUCCUGUAGCACUCAAGAUCCCAUUGCUGCCAACUGCUGGCUCCCAGCACCUGGCUCAGUUUUGUUUUAGCAGUGGUGGGGACUGAACACAGGGCCUCUUGGAUGCUAAGUAAGUGCUCUGCCACUUAGCUACACCCCAGCCCCAACACCCUGCUCUGAUGUGACUAGCAUCCUGGGAUGCUUUUGCUUUGGCAGACAUGCCCCAACAGAGGAGUGAAGAGAAUAGGAGGGUCUGUGCACAGGGCUUUCAGGAAGACCCAUGGGCAAAGGAUUCACCUCGCCCUGCUGCAUUUCACCUCCCCUAUGACAAUCUAAGUCCUUCUGAGAUCCUCAGUCACUAAUGCAAAGUCUGAAGAUGUCUUUAAGAAAAGAAAGAGCCAGACCCAGGGAUUUAGCCCAGCAGUGCCUUGCUUGGCAAGCAAAAGGUCCUGAGUUCUAUUCCUGGUACUAGAAAAAAAAAAAGAAAAAAAAGAAAAAGAGCCAGGUGUGGUGGUGCAUGACUGUAAUCCCAAGGAGGGUGAGGCAGGAAGAUUGCUAAGAGUUUGAGGCUAGUCUGGGCUAUUUACUGAGUUCAAGCCCAGCCUGAAUUACAAAGAAAAACCUUGUCUCAAAAAAACCAACCAAACAAACAAAAAAAAACGUCAUUGAGCUGAGGGGUAUAGGUUAGUGGUAGAGUGCUCCCUUAGCAUGGACGAGGCCCUGGGUCUAUCACCAGUGCUGCAAAAAUAAAUCAGUCAAGGCAUGUGUUUCCAUGUAGUAUGAAUAUAGACCUAACUCACCUAUCAUUUACCUGUUGAAAAACAAGUUUUUGUGGGGUUUUUUUGGUACCGGGGAUCGAAUUCGGGUCCUUGCGCUUGUGGGGCAGGCGCCGGAACCACUGAGCUAAAUCCCCGGCCCCUGAAAAACAAGUUUUGAUGACUUUUCACUUAGGAAAAAUAAACCUGUUUCCUGGUUUCCCA